rnacentral:rRNA from 1 species
UACGUAGGGUGCGAGCGUUGUCCGGAAUUAUUGGGCGUAAAGAGCUCGUAGGCGGUGUGUCGCGUCGGCCGUGAAAACCUGCAGCUUAACUGUGGGCUUGCGGUCGAUACGGGCAUCACUGGAGUUCGGCAGGGGAGACUGGAAUUCCUGGUGUAGCGGUGAAAUGCGCAGAUAUCAGGAGGAACACCGGUGGCGAAGGCGGGUCUCUGGGCUGAUACUGACGCUGAGGAGCGAAAGCGUGGGGAGCGAACAGG